rnacentral:rRNA from 1 species
GACGAACGCUGGCGGCAUGCCUAACACAUGCAAGUCGAACGAGACCUUCGGGUCUAGUGGCGCACGGGUGCGUAACGCGUGGGAAUCUGCCCUUGGGUUCGGGAUAACAGUUGGAAACGACUGCUAAUACCGGAUGAUGACUUCGGUCCAAAGAUUUAUCGCCCAGGGAUGAGCCCGCGUAGGAUUAGCUAGUUGGUGAGGUAAAGGCUCACCAAGGCGACGAUCCUUAGCUGGUCUGAGAGGAUGAUCAGCCACGCUGGGACUGAGACACGGCCCAGACUCCUACGGGAGGCAGCAGUGGGGAAUAUUGGACAAUGGGCGAAAGCCUGAUCCAGCAAUGCCGCGUGAGUGAUGAAGGCCUUAGGGUUGUAAAGCUCUUUUACCCGGGAUGAUAAUGACAGUACCGGGAGAAUAAGCCCCCGGG